AACUGAUACUACCUGCGGGAACCUGCGGAAGGAUCAUUACCGAGUUUACAAAACUCCCAAACCCUUUGUGAACCUUACCUAUCGUUGCUUCGGCGGGACCGCCCCGGCGCCCUCGCGGCCCGGAACCAGGCGCCCGCCGGAGGCCCCAAACCCUCAUGUCUUUAGUGGUUUCCUCCUCUGAGUGACAUAAACAAAUAAAGUAAAAACUUUCAGCAAUGGAUCUCUAGAUCGGAAGAGCAC
rnacentral:misc_RNA from 1 species